UACGUAGGGUGCAAGCGUUGUCCGGAAUUAUUGGGCGUAAAGAGCUCGUAGGCGGUCUGUCGCGUCUGCUGUGAAAACCUAGGGCUUAACUCUGGGCGUGCAGUGGGUACGGGCAGGCUAGAGUGCGGUAGGGGGAGACUGGAAUUCCUGGUGUAGCGGUGAAAUGCGCAGAUAUCAGGAGGAACACCGGUGGCGAAGGCGGGUCUCUGGGCCGUAACUGACGCUGGAGGAGCGAAAGCAUGGGGAGCGAACAGGA
rnacentral:rRNA from 1 species